AGCACAGCGGAGGAAAACACUGGAGAUGAAAACGUCAAUAAUAGACAGUCACAGCGGCUCUUGUUUGCUGGAUUUGUUGGGUCUUUCUACGAACGUCGCUACACGUGUUUUGAACAAGCUCUGGUGGGGAAUUGAACUGUUCUUCAACAGUGGCUGAUCUGAUCUGUCAUCAGCUGUGCCCGUCAGACUCAGCCACGAGGUACAGGCUCCUUCAGCUCCCUGCAGAAGUCAACUGUGAGCUCCAGAACACAGAAACCUCUCCAUACUGUCCAGCGUUCUUCAGUCUUCAGCCAACCAUCAACUGUCCUCUUAAAUAUUUGGGAAUAUCCAGCUUUAUAAAACGUAUUUCAUAGUAGGUUUGUCACUCUGGAGCUAACCCGAUUCUGCGUGCAUUCGUCACGGUGCUGCAGCUUAGCUGAUGGGUGCUGCCCCGAGCGACCAAACAUACCAGCAAAUCUCAUGCAGUGCUGGCACAUGGAGCUCCACCAGGAGUGGCUGAUGACUCAAACCUUUGGCGACAGACAGGAGGAUUGGCCCCCUCUCUCACAAGUGUAAUUACAUCCGCUCUUAAACACGGACAUGGCCGCGCUCCGAUGGCGAAUUCCCGCAGAUAACCGUGGGUGGCCCUGGCUGCUGGCGAGGCUCAAGACAGACGAUCCUCCAGAGGACAUGAACUCCAUUUCCCAGACUCUUCAGUGAAGUCAUGUGACUGCAGACAUUUCUUCACCAUCCUAUCAGCGGUCAAGGUCACCUGAGUAUUAAUGUGACUCAGCUGAGUGUGUAUCACAUGACUUUUAGUUUGGUAUAAAAUCCGUAUUGCUUUCACUUGUGAACAUGCUGAGGGUUUUCUGGCCAGACCUGUAUUGUGUGUAUGACUUCCUCCCUGUUCUCUUCAGUUCCCCAAGUAAAGCUUGACUUGUGGCUUCUAA